AGGGCAAAACCUUUUUUUAAAAACAGGUUUAAACCUAUAAAUAGAGGAACAAAAAAACUUAACAAGACUGUUAAAGAAAUAUUGCUAAUACAAGACUUUGACCGUUAUGGGGAGCAACCACAUGGUAAGAAACCUUACUAUAAUUUGCGUGGGUCGUCAAGGUAUUAUACUAGCGUUAUGCUCACUUAAAAGGCAAUAUUUUUUCUUUUAAAUAGGACGAGGCCUUUUUUCUUGACAUUCCAGAUGCCGCGCUACAAGCUUUAAACUUUGAACAAGAUGGAAGUCAAAACCACCCAAUAGUUUUCCUGAAAUUACAGAAGAAGACUCAUCAAGCGUUAUUCCUCAAGAAGAAAUGUUGAAGG